CUGUAACAAACACGACCAAAAGCUGGUUAACGUACAGUGCAUCACGUGGCAUAGAUGUCUUAAAUAAAAUAAACAGAGAUUCGGAGUUCACAAGCAGUUCACUGUCCCUGAGCAAAAUUGUGUCCACCUGUCUCCAGCAAGUAUUUUAAGAUGAACCCUCGGCCGCUUCACAAGCCAUCUUGAUUGAAGAAACAACGGGUCACGGCACCAAUGUGACUGUGUUUGUAUGUGUAGGGAUGAAAUCACUCUGAGAGCAGGUGGAUGGUUACUCAAAAUUGCACUUUACUGAGCCAGCAGUGAGAGAUCUGUAACAAACACGACCAAAAGCUGGUUAACGUACAGUGCAUCACGUGGCAUAGAUGUCAGCAGCAAGAGAUGUAAACAACUGCUCAUUCGAAAUGAUUGUGAACAUAUAGUGGACAAAAACUCAAAUAAAACAUACAUUAAAGUCA